CCUACGGGGGGCAGCAGUGGGGAAUAUUGCACAAUGGGGGAAACCCUGAUGCAGCGACGCCGCGUGAGUGAUGAAGUAUUUCGGGAUGUAAAGCUCUAUCAGCAGGGAAGAAAAUGACGGUACCUGACUACGAAGCCCCGGCUAACAACGUGCCAGCAGCCGCGGUAAUACGUAGGGGGCAGGCGUUAUCCGGAUUUACUGGGGGAAGGGGAGCGUGGACGGCGGGGCAGGCCAGAUGUGAAAGCCCGGGGCUCAACCGCGGGACUGCAUUUGAAACGGGGCUGCUAGAGUGUCGGAGAGGCAGGCGGAAUUCCUGGUGUAGCGGUGAAAUGCGUAGAUAUUAGGAGGAACACCAGUGGCGAAGGCGGCCUGCUGGACGAUGACUGACGUUGAGGCUCGAAAGCGUGGGGAGCAAACAGGAUUAGAUACCCCAGUAGUC
rnacentral:rRNA from 1 species